rnacentral:tRNA from 1 species
GCGGGAGUGGCGGAAUGGUAGACGCGCCGGUCUCAAACACCGGUACUGAAAGGUGUAAGGGUUCGAGUCCCUUCUCCCGCACCA